GACGAACGCUGGCGGCGUGCCUAAUACAUGCAAGUCGAACGCUUUGAUUUUCACCGGAGCUUGCUCCACCGAAAAUCAAAGAGUGGCGGACGGGUGAGUAACACGUGGGCAACCUGCCCAACAGAGGGGGAUAACACUUGGAAACAGGUGCUAAUACCGCAUAAUUUGUUUUUCCGCAUGGAAGAAUAAUAAAAGACGCUUCGGUGUCACUGUUGGAUGGGCCCGCGCUGCAUUAGUUAGUUGGUGGGGUAACGGCCUACCAAGACCAUGAUGCAUAGCCGACCUGAGAGGGUGAUCGGCCACACUGGGACUGAGACACGGCCCAGACUCCUACGGGAGGCAGCAGUAGGGAAUCUUCGGCAAUGGACGAAAGUCUGACCGAGCAACGCCGCGUGAGUGAAGAAGGUUUUCGGAUCGUAAAACUCUGUUGUUAGAGAAGAACAAGUGAGAGAGUUACUGUUCUCACUUUGACGGUAUCUAACCAGAAAGCCACGGCUAACUACGUGCCAGCAGCCGCGGUAAUACGUAGGUGGCAAGCGUUGUCCGGAUUUAUUGGGCGUAAAGCGAGCGCAGGCGGUUUCUUAAGUCUGAUGUGAAAGCCCUCGGCUCAACCGAGGAAGGUCAUUGGAAACUGGGGAACUUGAGUGCAGAAGAGGAGAGUGGAAUUCCAUGUGUAGCGGUGAAAUGCGUAGAUAUAUGGAGGAACACCAGUGGCGAGGGCGACUCUCUGGUCUGUAACUGACGCUGAGGCUCGAAAGCGUGGGGAGCAAACAGG
rnacentral:rRNA from 1 species